rnacentral:rRNA from 1 species
GUUAAGCGACUAAGCGUACACGGUGGAUGCCCUGGCAGUCAGAGGCGAUGAAGGACGUGCUAAUCUGCGAAAAGCGCCGGCGAGGUGAUAUGAACCUUUGACCCGGCGAUGUCCGAAUGGGGAAACCCAGUGUGUUCCGACACACUAUCGUUAACUGAAUACAUAGGUUAACGAGGCGAACCGGGGGAACUGAAACAUCUAAGUACCCCGAGGAAAAGAAAUCAACCGAGAUUCCCCCAGUAGCGGCGAGCGAACGGGGAGCAGCCCGGAGUCUGAAUCAGCUUGUGUGUUAGUGGAACGGUCUGGAAAGUCCGACGGUACAGGGUGAUAGUCCCGUACACGAAAAUGCACAGGUUGUGAACUCGAAGAGUAGGGCGGGACACGUGGUAUCCUGUCUGAAUAUGGGGGGACCAUCCUCCAAGGCUAAAUACUCCUGACUGACCGAUAGUGAACCAGUACCGUGAGGGAAAGGCGAAAAGAACCCCGGCGAGGGGAGUGAAAAAGAACCUGAAACCGUGUACGUACAAGCAGUGGGAGCCUCUUUAUGGGGUGACUGCGUACCUUUUGUAUAAUGGGUCAGCGACUUAUAUUCUGUAGCAAGGUUAACCGAAUAGGGGAGCCGAAGGGAAACCGAGUCUUAACUGGGCGUUAAGUUGCAGGGUAUAGACCCGAAACCCGGUGAUCUAGCCAUGGGCAGGUUGAAGGUUGGGUAACACUAACUGGAGGACCGAACCGACUAAUGUUGAAAAAUUAGCGGAUGACCUGUGGCUGGGGGUGAAAGGCCAAUCAAACCGGGAGAUAGCUGGUUCUCCCCGAAAGCUAUUUAGGUAGCGCCUCGUGAACUCAUCUUCGGGGGUAGAGCACUGUUUCGGCUAGGGGGCCAUCCCGGCUUACCAACCCGAUGCAAACUACGAAUACCGAAGAAUGUUAUCACGGGAGACACACGGCGGGUGCUAACGUCCGUCGUGAAGAGGGAAACAACCCAGACCGCCAGCUAAGGUCCCAAAGUCAUGGUUAAGUGGGAAACGAUGUGGGAAGGCACAGACAGCCAGGAUGUUGGCUUAGAAGCAGCCAUCAUUUAAAGAAAGCGUAAUAGCUCACUGGUCGAGUCGGCCUGCGCGGAAGAUGUAACGGGGCUAAACCAUGCACCGAAGCUGCGGCAGCGACACUAUGUGUUGUUGGGUAGGGGAGCGUUCUGUAAGCCGUUGAAGGUGGCCUGUGAGGGUUGCUGGAGGUAUCAGAAGUGCGAAUGCUGACAUAAGUAACGAUAAAGCGGGUGAAAAGCCCGCUCGCCGGAAGACCAAGGGUUCCUGUCCAACGUUAAUCGGGGCAGGGUGAGUCGACCCCUAAGGCGAGGCCGAAAGGCGUAGUCGAUGGGAAACAGGUUAAUAUUCCUGUACUUGGUGUUACUGCGAAGGGGGGACGGAGAAGGCUAUGUUAGCCGGGCGACGGUUGUCCCGGUUUAAGCAUGUAGGCGGAGGUUCCAGGUAAAUCCGGUACCUUUUUAACGCUGAGGUGUGAUGACGAGGCACUACGGUGCUGAAGUAACAAAUGCCCUGCUUCCAGGAAAAGCCUCUAAGCAUCAGGUAACAUCAAAUCGUACCCCAAACCGACACAGGUGGUCAGGUAGAGAAUACCAAGGCGCUUGAGAGAACUCGGGUGAAGGAACUAGGCAAAAUGGUGCCGUAACUUCGGGAGAAGGCACGCUGAUAUGUAGGUGAAGCCCCUGCGGGUGGAGCUGAAAUCAGUCGAAGAUACCAGCUGGCUGCAACUGUUUAUUAAAAACACAGCACUGUGCAAACACGAAAGUGGACGUAUACGGUGUGACGCCUGCCCGGUGCCGGAAGGUUAAUUGAUGGGGUUAGCGGUAACGCGAAGCUCUUGAUCGAAGCCCCGGUAAACGGCGGCCGUAACUAUAACGGUCCUAAGGUAGCGAAAUUCCUUGUCGGGUAAGUUCCGACCUGCACGAAUGGCGUAAUGAUGGCCAGGCUGUCUCCACCCGAGACUCAGUGAAAUUGAACUCGCUGUGAAGAUGCAGUGUACCCGCGGCAAGACGGAAAGACCCCGUGAACCUUUACUAUAGCUUGACACUGAACACUGGUCCUUGAUGUGUAGGAUAGGUGGGAGGCUUUGAAGCGUGGACGCCAGUCUGCGUGGAGCCAACCUUGAAAUACCACCCUUUAAUGGCUGGUGUUCUAACGUAGACCCGUGAUCCGGGUUGCGGACAGUGUCUGGUGGGUAGUUUGACUGGGGCGGUCUCCUCCCAAAGAGUAACGGAGGAGCACGAAGGUUAGCUAAUCCUGGUCGGACAUCAGGAGGUUAGUGCAAUGGCAUAAGCUAGCUUGACUGCGAGAGUGACGGCUCGAGCAGGUGCGAAAGCAGGUCAUAGUGAUCCGGUGGUUCUGAAUGGAAGGGCCAUCGCUCAACGGAUAAAAGGUACUCCGGGGAUAACAGGCUGAUACCGCCCAAGAGUUCAUAUCGACGGCGGUGUUUGGCACCUCGAUGUCGGCUCAUCACAUCCUGGGGCUGAAGUAGGUCCCAAGGGUAUGGCUGUUCGCCAUUUAAAGUGGUACGCGAGCUGGGUUUAGAACGUCGUGAGACAGUUCGGUCCCUAUCUGCCGUGGGCGCUGGAGAAUUGAGGGGGGCUGCUCCUAGUACGAGAGGACCGGAGUGGACGCAUCACUGGUGUUCGGGUUGUCAUGCCAAUGGCACUGCCCGGUAGCUAAAUGCGGAAGAGAUAAGUGCUGAAAGCAUCUAAGCACGAAACUUGCCCCGAGAUGAGUUCUCCCUGAGACUAUAAGUCUCCUGAAGGAACGUUGAAGACGACGACGUUGAUAGGUCGGGUGUGUAAGCGCAGCGAUGCGUUGAGCUAACCGAUACUAAUGAACCGUGAGGCUUAACC